UAGGGAAUCUUCCACAAUGGACGCAAGUCUGAUGGAGCAACGCCGCGUGAGUGAAGAAGGUUUUCGGAUCGUAAAGCUCUGUUGUUGGUGAAGAAGGAUAGAGGCAGUAACCGGUCUUUAUUUGACGGUAAUCAACCAGAAAGUCACGGCUAACUACGUGCCAGCAGCCGCGGUAAUACGUAGGUGGCAAGCGUUGUCCGGAUUUAUUGGGCGUAAAGCGAGCGCAGGCGGAAUGAUAAGUCNGAUGUGAAAGCCCACGGCUCAACCGUGGAACUGCAUCGGAAACUGUCAUUCUUGAGUGCAGAAGAGGAGAGUGGAACUCCAUGUGUAGCGGUGGAAUGCGUAGAUAUAUGGAAGAACACCAGUGGCGAAGGCGGCUCUCUGGUCUGCAAACUGACGCUGAGGCUCGAAAGCAUGGGUAGCGAACAGGAUUAGAUACCCUGGUAGUCCAUGCCGUAAACGAUGAGCGCUAGGUGUUGGGGACUUUCCGGUCCUCAGUGCCGCAGC
rnacentral:rRNA from 1 species